CCUGCCCUCCAGAGUCUUGCUAUUAGUAGAGUAGAUAGACAAAAACAAAAGUAUGCCAAAAAAUGUGGCAGCAUGCUACAUGAUGUCAUAAAGGUCUGACCUUUUUUUUAAAAUAGCAGACCAGACUUUGGGCCAUGGGGAAAGAAAGUGCUGUGUUCUACCCCAAGAUAUUAUGGAAGAUUCUUAAGAAUGGGACUUUUAGUCUAAGAAAAAACAGAAUGUGGCAGGGAGACGAGGGCCUUCUAGGCAAAGAGAAUGAAUGAAUAGCUUAUACGAAGGCACAGGGGCAAGGGGAGAACAAACAAAACAAGCAUAGACUGUUCAAGAACUUCAAGUGACUUAGGUGACUCCUGAGCUCAGAAUUCAUGCGGCAGGAGCAGCAGCGGGAGAUGACUCUAGAAAGCUGGACUAGGAAGGUACCAGGAAAGGCCUUGUAGGCGUUACUAAAUUCGUUAAUGGACAGUGCUGAGAGAACUGUUCAUGUGUUAAUUAAUCUCAUUAAUAUAUAGUCACCCAGUGUAGGUGCAGAAAAGGAAUUAAGAAAUAUUCAUGCAGCCAAAAAAAGAAUGAGAUUGUCUUUUGUGGUAACAUGAAUGGAACUGGAGGCCAUUAUUCUUAGCAAACUAACACAGGAACAGAAAACCAAAUACUGCAUGUUCUCACCUAUAAGUGGAAGCUAUAAAUGAUAAGAAUUUAUUAACACAAAGAAGGAAACAACAGACACUGGGGUCUACUUGAGGGUGGAGGGUGGGAGGAGGGAGAGGAGCAGAAAAAUAACCAUUGGGUCCUGGGCUUAAUACCUGGGUGAUGAAAUAAUACGUACAACAAACCUUGGUGACAUAUGUUUACCUAUGUAACAAACCUUCAUGUGUACCCCUGAACCUAAAAUAAUAGUUAAAAAAAGUAUUUAAAUUAUA
ensembl:lncRNA novel transcript, sense intronic to MRPS28